rnacentral:rRNA from 1 species
GACGAACGCUGGUGGCGUGCUUAACACAUGCAAGUCGAACGGAAAGGCCCUGCUUUUGUGGGGUGCUCGAGUGGCGAACGGGUGAGUAACACGUAAGUAACCUGCCCUUGACUUUGGGAUAACUUCAGGAAACUGGGGCUAAUACCGGAUAGGAGCUCCUGCUGCAUGGUGGGGGUUGGAAAGUUUCGGCGGUUGGGGAUGGACUCGCGGCUUAUCAGCUUGUUGGUGGGGUAGUGGCUUACCAAGGCUUUGACGGGUAGCCGGCCUGAGAGGGUGACCGGCCACAUUGGGACUGAGAUACGGCCCAGACUCCUACGGGAGGCAGCAGUGGGGAAUAUUGCACAAUGGGCGGAAGCCUGAUGCAGCAACGCCGCGUGCGGGAUGACGGCCUUCGGGUUGUAAACCGCUUUCGCCAGUGACGAAGCGUGAGUGACGGUAAUGGGUAAAGAAGCACCGGCUAACUACGUG